rnacentral:rRNA from 1 species
UACGUAGGGUGCGAGCGUUGUCCGGAAUUAUUGGGCGUAAAGAGCUCGUAGGCGGCUUGUCGCGUCGGAUGUGAAAGCCCGGGGCUUAACUCCGGGUCUGCAUUCGAUACGGGCAGGCUAGAGUUCGGUAGGGGAGAUCGGAAUUCCUGGUGUAGCGGUGAGAUGCGCAGAUAUCAGGAGGAACACCGGUGGCGAAGGCGGAUCUCUGGGCCGAUACUGACGCUGAGGAGCGAAAGCGUGGGGAGCGAACAGG